UUUUUUUCCCCUGUUCUCCUGUGCAGUAUAUAUCUUAUAAUUCCCUAGCCAAUUCCUCCUCUGCACUUUCUUCGGCAUCUCUUGGCUGUUGAGGAGUGGGUUACCCAUUCCUGUUGUUUCACUUGCAACUCAGGGUGCUAUAUAUUGGCUUCCACCUUGUUUAUCUGUAUACUAAGUCAGUCUCUCCAUUUGUCCAAGAGCUGUAGUAUCUCAGGGACUCCAAAGAAAUUCUGUUACCUGAAGAUAAUGGGUUUGAUAGAGAAAUCUUUCUCUUGUAGAACUGAGUUGAGAAAACAGCCUUCAUUUGAAUUUUAAAGAUCUGUGGCCUCUUCACACUGGCUGAGGAUUUAUUUUUCUGCAUAAGAACAUUGUUUUCUCCCCCCUUUUUUUUUUCCUAUUCUCUUUCCCCCCCCCUCCACUACCUGUGUUUCUUGCUCCGGUGCACGGAGGAGGGCGUCACUUUUGCAAGCAAAGCAAGGUGACAUUCUGCAUGAUAGUAUCUUGCUGGGAUGUUUGAGGCUGAGGGUAGUGCCCAGCCUGCCACUGGUAAGCAGUCCGUGUAAGCUACAAGUAGGGAGUCUAGUUCUGUAUUCAUUUACAGCAGGAGUAACAGUUUCAUUGCUAUGUUAGAAAAUGCAAUGAGCUCGAAAACUUGCAUUUAAGAAUUACAGUGAACUUAGAAUGAUUGGCCCUGUUUCUAUAAGGCCAGUAUUAGCUCAUUAAUCACCUUUGUUUCAUUGCUCUGUCUUUAUGUGUGUGUAGCCUAUUCCACGUGCCAUUGCUGCAUGGAAAUUCGCUGAAGUACAGAACACUUGAACAGAUUCUGUGUACCUCUUGGGUGCUGAACUAGACUGCACUCUACAGCAUCUGCGACACCUUAGAGCCAGCAGAAUGUUUACAGUAUACUACUCUCAUGUGGCCUAUUUGAGAAUUGUUCCUUACUCCAGUUUCAUAACCAAACACCCUUUUUCUGACAUUUUAAGUACAUUGUAUUAUAUUGAUUGCAUGCCUACUUGUUUUUAGUAGAAAAUUAAAG
rnacentral:lncRNA from 1 species